CUUCAACCACAUCCACUCUGUUUUUCAUAAUCUCACACUCUCUCUCUCUCUCUCUCUCUCUCUCACACACACACA
rnacentral:sRNA from 1 species